AUUGAACGCUGGCGGCAGGCCUAACACAUGCAAGUCGAGCGGAUGACGGGAGCUUGCUCCUUGAUUCAGCGGCGGACGGGUGAGUAAUGCCUAGGAAUCUGCCUGGUAGUGGGGGACAACGUUUCGAAAGGAACGCUAAUACCGCAUACGUCCUACGAGAGAAAGCAGGGGACCUUCGGGCCUUGCGCUAUCAGAUGAGCCUAGGUCGGAGUAGCUAGUUGGUGGGGUAAUGGCUCACCAAGGCGACGAUCCGUAACUGGUCUGAGAGGAUGAUCAGUCACACUGGAACUGAGACACGGUCCAGACUCCUACGGGAGGCAGCAGUGGGGAAUAUUGGACAAUGGGCGAAAGCCUGAUCCAGCCAUGCCGCGUGUGUGAAGAAGGUCUUCGGAUUGUAAAGCACUUUAAGUUGGGAGGAAGGGCAGUAAGCUAAUACCUUGCUGUUUUGACGUUACCGACAGAAUAAGCACCGGCUAACUCUGUGCCAGCCGCCGCAGUAA
rnacentral:rRNA from 1 species